UCCGAGAACUCCAAAAUAGAACCCGACGAUUUUCUGAUUCCCCCCCCUGCCGGAUCUUCCUCCCUGUUCGCCGGAGCUUCCUCCCUUAUCGCCCGAUGUUUCCACCUCUCCUGAUCUUCUCUCUCCACUCUUCUAAUCUCGUUUCUGUUUGUGCUCCACCUCUACAUUUUUUUGUUGUGAUCUCCUUACUUGAUUUUUAAGCUUCUAUUUUUUUUUUAAUUCCAGGUUUUUCCACAUUAAAUUCAAGAUUUCUAUUUUUUUAUAAAUUCAAAUUCCAAAUUUGUUUUUUUUUUCAAAUUACCCAUGGAUCAUCAAGAAAAUAAAACCAUGGAUACUCAUAAAGAUGAAUUGAAUGAAACCAUCGAUGAGGAGAAAACAAACAAAUCAUUGAUGCCCAAAAUCUAAUGAUCAGCGACUCCAACAAGGUGAAUUGUCUUUUCUGUCAUUUCAUAUCGAAAACAAAGAUUCCUCGAUUGAAAGAACAUAUAAUUGGAGGUGAUCAAGUGUUACAAAACAACAAAAAUUGUUAGAAACAAGGUGCUUGCUUAUGAGAAUACAAGGGAAGGCUAAAGCAAUGGUCAUCAAGAUGGCUAAAAAAUCAGUGUAUUUUGAGGAAGAUGAACAAUCUGAUGAUGAUGAUGUGGUGAUAGUUGAUGAUAACUAUAUAAUCUGCAUAAUUAGUCACUUCUACAAAUAUAUUACACUCUAUAAUAUAAGUUGGUUAAUAGACUGUUAUACUAGAGUAAGUUAGACAUUGGUUCUAUAUAAUACUGUAUUCUUAAUUACAUUAGUUGCUAAUGAUAAAGUUACCCUUUGCAUUGAGCUCUCUCUCACAAACUCUUCAUUUCAGAAGAAAGCAAAGAAGCGAUCAACUAUGCUUAAGCCGAUAAUUCCUUUUUUCAUCAGGGUUGAACCGUUCGAUCAACGCUGCAAUAGGUGCUCUAUCUUUGAGAGAAGGUCAAAAUUUACCUAAUAUUGUGCGGGCAAGAUUGAAAAGGAAACAGUCGAUAAUUACUGAAAAGUUGAAGAAAGAGGAAAAACUUGUGGUGGAUAUUUUUGUCGCAAAGAUCUUUUACAACACCAGCAUUCCUUUCGAUGCAAUAGAUUUUUUUUCGAUUUUCAUGUUAUGUUUGAAGCAAUUGGGAGAUAACUUGGGCAUACCCACAUUAAAAGGUUUGCUUUGGAAUGUUAUUGAGUGUUUUAUCACUAUAUCAAUCUCUCCUUCAGUUCAUUGCUAUUGGAGACUAAGAAAC
rnacentral:lncRNA from 1 species